UCGUGUGACGCAGACAACGUUUGAACGCUGCAGGACAGAUAUUUUAAAGAUAACAACGAGAACCUUUGUAUGUAUAACAGCUUGAUAUAAAGGAAAAAAUGACGUCUGCCAUUCAGAAGAUGGUUUUCAACUUGCCCAGGAAAUUGACUACAACUUGUAAACUGUCAGUGUAAAUCCAAACGCACAUACAAGACAAAUAUCCACAACUGCAAGUGACAACAGUUACAGGCUAUACAAAAAUCAGUGCCAAUAACGAUCAUGGGGACUGAGCCAUUUGAAGUUGGAUGAAAGAUGAUCUGCAUCAUUGUGUUUAUGAUAAUGUGGAAAAGUACCAAUUGUUUUGAGAAUUGGUUCCACAGAUGUCAGUGAAAGAGACUUACGACUUAAUGUACAUGUUUUUGAACAGAACUAUUAAAAAGAAAAAUGGUGCAAAAUCAAUUGAAUCUGGUCACAAGAGAUAUGGAGACCUCGAGAGACAGAAAAAGAACAGACCAGGGAAUCACAGAUCCAUAUCAGAUAAUAAAAUUAAAUUGAAAAUUUAAAGUUUGAAUUUUAUGUUAUUGAAACUAUUAAUUUACAAACUUCCUGAAAAUUUGGAUUUUAUUUAUUAUUGAAUAGAGGCUAAGGGUAUUUGACCAUCAUCAAUGUGCUUACACAUUGAUUUUCAUUCAACUUUAAGAACUUCUUUUUAGGUUUUUAGGGGAAUAUCUGUUGUAUAAGUUACAAAGUUUUGUAUGGAUAUCCACAUUCUGAAUGUUUUCUGAAUAUAUUUCUGAAUCUGUCUGAAUCCAUCUGAAUGUUGUCUGGAUAUUUCUGAAUGUUAUCUGGAUAUUUUUGAAUGUGUCUGAUUAUUUCUUAAUCUUUCUGAUUAAAUUCAGAUUUUUCUGAAUUCAUUCUGAAUAUUGCCUUAAUUCAUUCUUACAUAAUUCUGAUUUUUGUCUGAAUGCUAUUCUGAUUUUUGUCUGAAUGGUUUUCUGAUUCCUGUCUGAAUGUGCGAAUGAAAAUUCUGAAUUUUUCCAUAAUAGUCCGAAAUCCAGUAAAAAUUCAGACAUUUGCAUUAAUGAACACAUUUUUAGCUAUUCAGACAUUAUUCAGAAAAAAAUAAGAAAAAUUAAGAAUACUUGUCAGACAGAAUUCAGACACUAUUUUUUCA